rnacentral:lncRNA from 1 species
CAGAAGUAAAAUUUGCCUUGCUGAGGAAAUUAAAUUUAUGUUUGAGUGCUAUUUCUUUUGCAGCACUGAAAAUUUAUUUCUAACAGUAGCCUCUAAUGCAUUUCACAAAUAGAAGGUAAUAUUACCACUAUUGGAUUAGAGUUUUCCCCUCAUUUCCUCCAUUUUCCUUGUUUCUUCCAUUUUCUAUAAGGAUUUUUUAAAAACAGUCUUAAGCAAAGUCUUCAUAAGAUUUGGGAAGUCAGACCUCACAUCACUGGGAUACUGGUCAGAGGACAGCCCUUGGAUGUCUUCUAGAGUCUCCAUUCCCUCCUUCGCAUGAGUCCUUUCUGUGAUUAGGGUAUGGCAGCAACAACCAAGAUGGGGGCUCUGAAAGGAGGGCAAGGGUUCAGGGGAGGAGAGCAUGGCCCCACAUGGAAUGCUGCCCUUGGUCACCCCAGCCCUCUCUCAAUUUCCCUCACAACCCACCAUCAGGAGCCUCAGAGUAGGCCAGCGUUUGAAACAAGUUUUCAGUGCCGCAAAAGAAACAGCACUCAAACAGAAAUUUUUUUCUCAGCAAGGCAAAUUUACUUCUGCAGAAGGGUGCAGCUGGCGCCAGACAUGAUCACAAGAGCACACUGAGUAGGGUGGGGCAGGAGUUUUUAUCCCUAAUGCAGCAGCUUCUGUAGCUGUGUCCUUUCCCCAUUGGCUGGAGUUGGACUGCACAAUCUAAGCUGAGACCUGACUGGCUACUGUUUAAAAUUGAACAGGGCUAACUAGGCAGGAAGGGAGAGGCUGUCCCUUACAAUUUUAGGGUGCAGUAAAGGCAGAAAGGAUAGUUGCAGAGUAGGGAAUAGAUGUGAGUUAUAGAUUAGGACUGAUGGGAAGAUUGUUUACCAUAAUUAGAGGCAAGGGGGCAUAAAGAACGAGGAAGUUACUCUUUGAAAAUAGAGAACAAAGAACAAGGAAGCUGAACAAGCUGACUCUUCUUUGAAGAGGAACCCACCGUACCCAACACCAGAAAGACUAUAACCUUGCUUUGAAGGCUGGGAGUCCAAGAUCCAGGUGUCAGCAGUGUUGGUAUCUCCUGUGGCCACUCUCCUGGGCUUGCAGACGGCGUCUUCUCCCUGUGUCCCCACAUGACCACCCUUCUCCACCUUAGCAUCCCCGGUGUCUCUGUGUGUCCGGAUGUCCUUUUCUCAUGAGGAACCAAAGGCCAGAGACUUCUCAGCAAACACAAGUGGGUGUCUAGUAUCUGGGGCAAAGGACCGUGAGGCUGGAGAGAGAAACAGAAGGGAAGAAGGGUCCCUUACUGGCUGUCACAGGAAGCUGUGGGAUGCAGACACAUCCAGGGAAAGGCAGAGGCUGCCUCCAAGGCUACAUGACCUGCAGGCAGCCCCGGACCCCCUGGGGAGGACUCAGGUCUCCACUGAAGGGACAGCCGAACAGAGGGAAAUGGAAGUAGAGCCGUGGGGACUCCUGGGAGGGGGAAGAAGGCAUAGGAGGGGAGAGUGACCAGGGAGACAAGCCCCUCAAGGUCAGAGAGGGAAGCCAGUGGGUCCCCGAGGGUGGGGUCGUGCAGUGAAAUGUACUGUAGGAGGUGGGAGCAGGUGUUGGGAGCACGUGAAAGUCACAGCCAGCCUCAGGCAGCACCACUCAAGUCUAUCUCAGUUGCUUAUCUGGUCCAGAGAGGUUGAAAGGAUGGGAAAGCUUCAAGACUGGAUUCUUCGCAUCUGCUCUAUGACAGAGAAGGUUAGGACCAGAAAGUGGCCUCUGCAAACACAGCCAUUUAUAUGUUUGGACUACUGUGUUUGCUUUGAUUUUCCAGUUUCCUAAAUAAGAAAGGCUGCUGCUUAAGAGUCCAGUCUGAUCUCAACUAAGGGGAAAAGACAUUUGUUUCAUUUCCAUUAAGGGUGGGAUGUGGAGAGGGAUCAGUCCCUCUUUGGUGACACCCUAAGGCAGGUCCUGGGCAUCCAAUCAGCUCCUGAGCCAAGAGGGUCAGUAGAACUAGAUGCCAGGAUCCCAGAGCAGACACCAGAAACCAAGGGCUUCUGGGGCAAUCAACCCCCACCUGCUGCCUGAAAGGCUUCCUUUGCCCACUACUUUCCAGGACCAGAGAGAGAAGCAUCCCUGCUGAUGAGAAAGAACAGACACUCCCAGAGGACAAGGUCCACCUGUCAGGCAGCCACAGCCCAGCAUACUCUGGAGUCUGAGGUGGGGGUCAGUUGUGAAGAAAGGGAAGAAGGAAGAAAAAGGAUACGUUGUGCUCCGACCACAGGCCAAGGUCAGAAGACGGUAUUUACCAAGUCUCUUCCCAAAAUACUUGCAAAUGCACAUAAUCUCAAAGUGUUUUUGAGGGCUCUUCCGAUCUAAAAUUGGUCCUAGUGACAAGGGGUGUUUGGGGAAAUCAAAGGGCUGGCUUAACUAUGUAGACCUAGGUCUGGUCUUAUUUCUGGCCCAUACGAUCAUCAUGACCUUGGACAAAUGAAACUUCCUGGGCCUCAAGUUCCUUGUAUCAGAAAGGAUGGCAUUCAGCUGCGUACAACAGAAAACCAAAUCACAGUGGCUUAUCCAAGAAAAGUUCAAUUUUUCUCAAAACUACAGCGUCCUGGGCUGAUGCGGCAGCCCCAGGACGACCUCAGCAUCUCACUCCUCCUUUCUUUACUCGGCCCCAUCCUCAGGCUGUGACUUUCAUCCUCAGGUUUGUCAUCUUUUGGUGGUAAGAUGGUUGCUCUACCUCAAGCUCACAAAAAGAAAUGGGGGAAAGCAGGAAAGAAGAAAAUCUGCUUCCCCAGAGACUCUGAGGCUGCACUUGCACAUCUUAUGGAUCCAAACUGUGUCCCAUGGCUGCCCCUAGAUGCAAGGGGCCUGGGGAAAUGAGCGGAUUCAUCAGGUACACUGCAACCGUACAUGAAAGGAAAGUUCUGUCAAUAAAGAAGAGCGAAAUCUACAUUUGGUCAGGAAACAGCAUUGCCUGCAAUAUGCCUCAUAUGAAAUAAAGCCUUUCUUGCCCCCAUUCUGCUACUCGGUCAUUCUUGCACUCAACAAAUAGAUGUUGAGUGCCCACUCUCUCCAGGCCAUGUUCUAGGUGCUGCGGAUGCAAUCCUGAAUCUAUGAACACGAUUGGCAGAACAAUAAAUAUUGAUUGUCUUGGCCACUCACCAAAUAAAGUGCUCCUGGGAAGGCUGAGAUCUAAUGCAAAGCAGCAGCUUGACUUUCUCACUCCCUGGCAACAAUGCCAAGCAAGAGAAAGCGAUGGGUAAGGCCUGGCUCAAGAGUCUCACUGCAACCUGCACUGUAGAUUCUACCUGCUAAUUUCCUCAGCCUUCUCUGGUUUUGGGCUUCAGAAUGCCCUAACUCUGGGCCCGGCGCGGUGGCUCACGCCUGUAAACCCAUCACUUUGGGAGGCCAAGGCGGGUGGAUCACAAGAUCAAGACCAUCCUGGCCAACAUGGUGAAACCCUGUCUCUACUGAAAAUACAAAAAUUAGCUGGGCAUGGUGGCUUGUGCUUGUAAUCCAGCUACUUGGAAGGCUGAGGCUGGAGGAUCGCUUGAACCCAGAAGGCAGAGGUUGCAGUGAGCUGAGAUCACACCACUGCACUCCAGCCUGGCAACAGAGUGAGACUCUGUCUCAAAAAAAAAAAAAAAAAAAAAAAGAAUGCCCUAAGUCUACUCUGGACCAUGAGCAAGGAUAAUCUGUCUUAGAGGAGAGAAGGUGAGGUUAUGAUUCCAGAGCAUUUGGUGACCCAGGAAGUAGACCUGCCUCCUCCUAUCUGUCCACAGAGCAGUCCUAGGGGCAAUAGGCCAUGAGAAGAUCAUGCCAGGCAGUCCAUUUCUAUAUUACCAUGUAAACAAAAACUCAGCUGUGAACCCUGGAACGUUCGUAUUCUGCAGCUGCCAGUGUAAACUGGUACAGGCCUCUUGAAGAACAGUGGGGAAAGGCACUCUGAAAGCAUCCACGCCUCCAUACCUGCUGAUCCAGGGCUCUGAUUUUCCUUCUGGGAACCAAGCCUAGGAGAAUGAUUCAAGCUGCAGAAAACCUUUCUCCACUAAGAUGUUUGCUGUGGCAUUCAGUAUAAUAGCACACCAGAGAAACAAUCUAAAGAUUCAUCAGUAGGAGAAUAUCUAAGUAAAUUAUGGUACAUACACUCAAUAAAAUGUUAUAUGACUACUAAUUAUGGUGGUUACAAAGACUAUCUCUUUAAGAAAAAUGCUUCUGUGAAUGGUUAAGUGAAAAUUGCAAGAUACGGGCUGGGUGCAGUGGCUCACACCGGGUGCAGAGUCUCACUCUGUUG